AGGUCUAUUUUUUUCUCCCCUCCAGGUAGAUCAUUCGUGAACAGAGAUAUAGAAAAUGACAAACCGUAACAGAUGAAAGGCCAAGUGUUUAUGCUCCAGAGGUGACCAGAAUUUUAAAAACUAUCUGAGGAUGAUAACAUUCUUCAAUUUACAACUCACCAUAAACCAGUGGAACAGCACAGCAGCGGGAAGAAUGCUCUCCAGCUAUCUGUUGUGGGGCUCUGAGGUGAGCUUAUACUGGAUUUUCAUCAGAAGGGAAUGUGGCAUACAUCAUCAAGAGCAGCUAAAUGAGUGAGG